AGGUGACCUGCGGAAGGAUCAUUAUUGAACACACACAAGGAUUGUUGCUGACUCCUUUGGGAGUAUGUGCACAUCCGCAUCUUUAAUCCUCUGUGCACUAUUUGUAGAUCUGAAUAUUUUCAAGUUCUCAAUAACUUGGAUUUGUUUUAAGAAUUGCUGUGUUUAAAAGCCAGCUAUUCAUUGUAUUUCAGAUCUAUGUAUUAUCAUCACACACCAUAUGUAUCAGAAUGUGGAUUUGAAUUUCAAUAAUAACAACUUUCAACAACGGAUCUCUUGGCUCUUGCAUCGAUGAAGAACGCAGCGAAAUGCGAUAAGUAAUGUGAAUUGCAGAAUUCAGUGAAUCAUCGAAUCUUUGAACGCACCUUGCGCUCCUUGGUAUUCCGAGGAGCAUGCCUGUUUGAGUGUCAUGAAUAUUCUCAAACCCUUCUGAUUAAUAUAUCGGUUAGGGCUUUGGAUCCUUGGGUGAUGCUGGCUUUCAAGUUGGCUCACCUUAAAUGUAUUAGCAAAGUUAUUGCUGAUUAUCAUUGAUAUUCAUACUUGUAUAUACAUCAUUGAAAAUCAGUAUACACUCUUGAUUUUGCUGCCAAUUGUCUGAUAUAGACAAUGUUUUGAAUUAUGACCUCAAAUCAGUA
rnacentral:rRNA from 1 species